UACGUAGGGGGCAAGCGUUGUCCGGAUUUAUUGGGUUUAAAGGGUGCGUAGGCGGCUUUGUAAGUCAGUGGUGAAAUACGGUAGCUUAACUAUCGAGGUGCCAUUGAUACUGCAGAGCUUGAGUACAGAUGAGGUAGGCGGAAUUGACGGUGUAGCGGUGAAAUGCUUAGAUAUCGUCAAGAACACCUAUAGCGAAGGCAGCUUACUAGGCUGUAACUGACGCUGAGGCACGAAAGUGUGGGGAUCAAACAGG
rnacentral:rRNA from 1 species